UUCCGGUUGAUCCUGCCGGACCUCACUGCUAUCGGAUUGAUACUAAGCCAUGCGAGUCAUUGUAGCAAUACAAGGCAGACGGCUCACUAACGCGUAGGCAACCUAACCUAUGGACAGGAAUAACCUCGGGAAACUGAGAAUAAUGCCCGAUAGAACACUAUGCCUGGAAUGGUUUGUGUUCCCAAUGAUUUAUCGCCCUAAGAUGGAACUGCGGCCUAUCAAUUUGUUGGUGAGGUAAUGGCCCACCAAGACUAUUACUGGUACCGGCUCUGAAAAGAGUAACCCGGAAAUGGGUACUGAAACACGGACCCCGGCCCUAUGGGGCGCAACAGGGCGAGAAAACUUUGCAAUGKGCSAAAGCACGACAAGGUUAAUCCSAGUGGUUUSUGYUAAAGGAACCUUUUGUCGGUCCUAGARACACYGAUGAAUAAGGGKUGGGCAAGUUCUGGUGUCAGCCGCCGCGGUAAAACCAGCACCUCAAGUGGUCARGAUGAUUAUUGGGCCUAAAGCAUCCGUAGCCGGYUCUGUAAGUUUUCKGUUAAAUCUGUAUGCUCAACGUACAGGCUGCCGGGAAUACUGCAGAGCUAGGGAGUGGGAGAGGUAGGCGGCACUCGGUAGGAAGGGGUAAAAUCCUUUGAUCUAUUGAUGACCACCUGUGGCGAAGGCGUUCUACCAGAACACGUCCGACGGUGAGGGAUGAAAGCCGGGGGAGCAAACCGGAUUAGAUACCCGGGUAGUCCCAGCUGUAAACUAUGCAAACUCAGUGAUGCAUUGACUUGUGGUCAAUGCAGUGCUGCAGGGAAGCCGUUAAGUUUGCCGCCUGGGAAGUACGUACGCAAGGUAGAAACUUAAAGGAAUUGGCGGGGGAGCACCACAAGGGGUGGAGCCUGCGGUUCAAUUGGAUUCAACGCCGG
rnacentral:rRNA from 1 species